rnacentral:rRNA from 1 species
UACGGAAGGCAGCAGUGGGGAAUAUUGCACAAUGGGCGCAAGCCUGAUGCAGCCAUGCCGCGUGUAUGAAGAAGGCCUUCGGGUUGUAAAGUACUUUCAGUCGUGAGGAAGGUGUUAAGGUUAAUAACCUUAGCAAUUGACGUUAGCGACAGAAGAAGCACCGGCUAACUCCGUGCCAGCAGCCGCGGUAAUACGGAGGGUGCGAGCGUUAAUCGGAAUUACUGGGCGUAAAGGGCACGCAGGCGGUUAAUUAAGUUGGAUGUGAAAUCCCCGGGCUUAACCUGGGAAUGGCAUUCAAGACUGGUUAGCUAGAGUCUUGUAGAGGGGGUAGAAUUCCAUGUGUAGCGGUGAAAUGCGUAGAGAUGUGGAGGAAUACCGGUGGCGAAGGCGGCCCCUGGACAAAGACUGACGCUCAUGUGCGAAAGCGUGGGGAGCGAAAC